AAGCACCUGAGGGAGGGAGUAACUAGGUAUGAUGUCCUUACAAUGCAAGGAGGAGAAUUCAGUUGAACCUUUUCCACGACAGCAGAUACUUUAGUUAAAACACUCCAUGCAUUUUACAGCAGAAGAUCCCAUGAGAAAUGAGUGAAGAAUAACAAAGUAAAUCUACUCUAGCAUUGAAAACUGAGUGGGUCAAUAUAUAAUCGCGGGCCUUUUUGUAACACAGUUGACAUUUUUGCUGUUUUCAGGCCGAAAAUCAACAUGGCCACCUAUAACCAAACACCACAUGGCAUUUUUACAGAAAGAUUCUUCUAAAAUAUUAUAUACACAAUUGAGUGAAAUUGAAAUUGAAAGUUAUUUAUAAAGAUACUGUAGUAACACUGUCCACACUUGACUCACACACUACUUUAUAUUAAAUCACUCAGAAAGCCUUGGAGUCUUCCAUUCUUUUCUUCAGGAGGAAAUGACAUCAUGUGGAGCAGGUCAUGUGAUCUGGAAUCAACACACUUCCUUGAGAGGUAUUUUUGUAGCGGGUAACUUAGCUGAAAGUGAUUUCUCGGACACAGAUACGGUAUGUUAUUUUCUGUAUAAAAUUUGAUAUAUUGCCGAAAAAGAAAUAUCUGUCAUGAUUAACUCAACCUUAGGAAAAUACCACAAUCAGAACUAUUUCUGAAUAAACUCAUUUUAUUAUUAUUUAGCUAAUUAGAAGGUGAUUGUUAUUGAAUUGGGACGGUUAUUUAGUUGACAUUUUAGUGAUAUCCAGCAGGGGCGGAUCUACUGGGGUGGCAUAGGGUGGCAACUGCAACCCCUAGAAGAUGUCUUGCCACCCCGGCUGCCACCCCAGUUCUGAACGAUCUAAUUCACAAUUAUGUAUGUGAAAGGUUGUGGCCGGCCGUAAAGAGCGAAAGUCCAGGAAGAUCAAAUAACGAGUGAAACUCCGAUGUCCGAGUGCUUUCGAAUGCACCAUGUAGACGUCACGUACUGUACAGUCUAUGCUGCUACGGAUACGAGGCGACACGAUCCCCCUGAGGGGGCUGCUCUUAGACCUCACUCAUGUGGAUGACAGCUGGACUUCGGUGUGACAGAGACAGUAAAGAAUGAAGAAGAAGGGAACCACCAGCAGCUUUUCCCAGCCUAAAAGAAGAGAGGAGGAAGAGCAUCCCAGAGAGGAGAUGGAGGAGGAAGAGUUCAGAGAGAGAGAAAGAAAUGAAGGCAUGCAGAGCUCAGACAGAGAAAGACCAAAGAACUACAGACUCUUCACAACCUGCUCAAACUCUUGGUACAGGACCUCACCACACGGGUCAAGAAGGUUUCCAUCUCAUUUCUACUCUGAAGCUCACCUUCUCCUGCUCAAACUGCUGACAAAUGUUUGUGCUGCUCUAAAGUCUGGUCUCCAGAACUUCCUAAAAACUCUCAAAGUCUCUUCUGCUGCAGGUUGCUUUGUAGAACUGUUCCAGAAAACCUCACUAAACCACAUGGAGGGGCCUCAAGAUAGUUGUCUAAAUGAAACCAUACAAAAACCAAACUAGCACAAUCCAAAUGCUAAAGUCUCCUGCAGCCUACCAGAGAACCUCUGAGAACAGAGAAUCAGGACAGGAACUCUUACCUUCUGGACAACCAACGUUGGUUCUCAAACAAGAAUACAGAAUGUGUCUGACCAAAAACCUCUAAAGACACAACUCAGCUAUACCAAAUCCACUAAUCACUGCACACACUAGCACUAUGUGCUAACUGUGGCUAAAGAACCUCAUUUACCAAGACAACUAUCCAAUACAAAGCCCUAAAACACACCAAGAAACACAUUAAAGUCUAUUUUACUGCUGGAAGCUGCAAGCCAACGUCUAAAGAACAAGCUAAAGCAACAGAGCCAAACCCGGUUAAGUGGUGAACAGAAGCAGAGGAAAUGUUUGUCUGCAGCUAAAUGAAGCAGGAAGACACUGAGCUGCUCAGGUGUUCCUGAUAACACCAAUCAGCCACCUGGACAGCCAAUAGGAACACAGCUUCCUGGAAGUCCAGAGGGCUGGGUUAGUGAAGUAAAUUUAAUUUAAAGUUGAAGCAGAAAGUUAACAAAGAAAGUUGAAAACCACCUUCUGAUCCCUGAAAUCUCUGAGUUUUCACACAAAGAACACCUGAACAUGUCAAACUGGUUCCAUAGUAGAACCAUCAUUGUAAAAACUUCAUAGUAUGGUGUGUUGCUCAAAAACAUUAGGACCUGGCUGUCAGGGGACAAACAUGUAAGAAACAUGAGAACAGAGAGAACCCAACCAGUAGGUCACAGUUUAUCAUCCCCCAGUCAUCUCCUGAAGUCCAUAUGGUGAGAGACAUCAGUAUCUGGUUGUUAAUUUACCAGAGGAUGCUUAUAAUCAUGCUGAUGUGGUCUGUACUCUACUGUAUUUUAGUGACUCAAUAAAUGCCUAAGUUGUUUUUUUUUUAAAUGCUUUUUAGUUUUUAAUAAACAUUUAAUAGCCUAUAUGUGAUCAAUAAAUGGCCUUUGCCUAUCUUAAGAAAAAUUCACUCAUAACUCUGAUAUAUUAACAGUACUAAAUAAAUCAAUAAAUACAUGCAUACACACAAAAAUAAGUUAAUACAUUAACUGUGUUAAGAUUUAGAUUUUUAAAAAAGUUGUUUCUGUUUUUGCAGAAUCCAGUGUUGCUCACUGGUUGGUCAUUACAUUUUGCUCGUUUGAUUUCACUGUUUAAAAUGAUGCCACCUCUUUUCAGACAGAACCUGUGAUAAUUAAACAAUACAAAAUUUUUAGUUCCGUGUUAAUAAAGCACUUAAAGCUUUAAGUAUGGCUAAAUGCUUUUUUCAAAAUUAAAUAUAUCACUCCUUAGGUGGUAGUGGCCCCAAGUUCAGUAAAGUUGGAAAGAUAUUCACAGAUUCAGACUUCCAGCAUCAAUAACUCAUUAGAUAUAGGUUGUCAAAACAUAAACGGUGCCUCUUUCCCAUUGUUGCAAGGCAGACACUGUGCUACAAGCCCAGUUUUAUCAAAAGUAGCUGUCUUUCAAGCUACAGGAAUAACAUUGUUGUCUAUGGAGUGAACAGGGUCUGUCUGCAAUUUGCAAAACCACUGCAACAGUAAAGAGAGACAAAUAUUCAAUAACUUCACUCUUAUACAUUGUAGUGUCACUAAAAUCACUGCAGCCUUCAACUGGCUCCUGUUGACAAAGUGUUUUAACAGAAAUGUAAAUGCUGUAAUUUGAUUCUUUUAAUAAACCAUGUAACUUGAAUGGAUGUGAUGCUGGUGUGACCACAGUGCACAUGUCUGAUGUUGCUCACAGUGGUCCAAGGGACGCUCAGGGAGUUUGUGUGUUUGCUCAGACUCAUGAAAAAUUAGAGGGAACAUUGGUUGCCACUGUUCCUACUAUAACCUAAAGACCAAUAAAUUUAUAUGAGCGAUAAAAAUCCAAUUUAGAGGUUUUCUUACCGAGCUGCAGCAGUUUCUUUACGGUACUUAAAUGCUGAUUGUUGCAGGCAACCUGGAGAGGAGAGCCUACUUUGUCAAUAUGCUGAUCCACAUCUGCACCGUACUGAACAAGAUGCU